rnacentral:rRNA from 1 species
AUUGAACGCUGGCGGCAUGCUUUACACAUGCAAGUCGAACGGUAACAGGUCUUCGGAUGCUGACGAGUGGCGAACGGGUGAGUAAUGCAUCGGAACGUGCCCAGUCGUGGGGGAUAACGCAGCGAAAGCUGUGCUAAUACCGCAUACGAUCUAUGGAUGAAAGCGGGGGAUCGAAAGACCUCGCGCGAUUGGAGCGGCCGAUGUCAGAUUAGCUAGUUGGUGGGGUAAAGGCCCACCAAGGCGACGAUCUGUAGCUGGUCUGAGAGGACGACCAGCCACACUGGGACUGAGACACGGCCCAGACUCCUACGGGAGGCAGCAGUGGGGAAUUUUGGACAAUGGGCGCAAGCCUGAUCCAGCAAUGCCGCGUGCAGGAAGAAGGCCUUCGGGUUGUAAAGCUCUUUUGUCAGGGAAGAAACACCGGCUCUAACACAGUCCGGGAAUGACGGUACCUGAAGAAUAAGCACCGGCUAACUACGUG